ACUGGGCGUGGUGGCACAUGCCUGUAAUCCCAGCACCUUGGGAGGCUGAGGUAGGAGGAUUGCAAGUUUGAGACCAGCCUCAGCAACUUAGCAAGACCCUGUCUCAA
rnacentral:sRNA from 1 species